rnacentral:rRNA from 1 species
AACGAACGCUGGCGGCAGGCCUAACACAUGCAAGUCGAGCGCACCUUCGGGUGAGCGGCGGACGGGUUAGUAACGCGUGGGAACGUACCCUUCUCUAAGGAAUAGCCUCGGGAAACUGAGAGUAAUACCUUAUACGCCCUUCGGGGAAAGAUUUAUCGGAGAGGGAUCGGCCCGCGUUAGAUUAGGUAGUUGGUGGGGUAACGGCCUACCAAGCCUACGAUCUAUAGCUGGUUUGAGAGGAUGAUCAGCAACACUGGGACUGAGACACGGCCCAGACUCCUACGGGGGGCAGCAGUGGGGAAUCUUAGACAAUGGGGGAAACCCUGAUCUAGCCAUGCCGCGUGAGUGACGAAGGCCCUAGGGUCGUAAAGCUCUUUCGCUGGGGAAGAUAAUGACUGUACCCAGUAAAGAAACCCCGGCUAACUCCGU